GGAUGCGAUCAUACCAGCACUAAUGCCACCGGAUCCCAUCAGAACUCCGAAGUUAAGCGUGCUUGGGCGAGAGUAGUACUAGGAUGGGUGACCCCCUGGGAAGUCCUCGUGUUGCAUCCC
rfam:Ipomoea nil DNA, scaffold: scaffold1947, cultivar: Tokyo-kokei standard.